UACGGAGGGUGCAAACGUUGCUCGGAAUCAUUGGGCGUAAAGCGCACGUAGGCGGCUCGUUAAGUCGGGUGUGAAAGCCCUCGGCUCAACCGAGGAAGUGCAUUCGAAAACUGGCGAGCUUGAAUAUGGAAGAGGGUCGCGGAAUUCCCGGUGUAGAGGUGAAAUUCGUAGAUAUCGGGAGGAACACCAGUGGCGAAGGCGGCGACCUGGGCCAAUAUUGACGCUGAGGUGCGAAAGCGUGGGGAGCAAACAGG
rnacentral:rRNA from 1 species